rnacentral:rRNA from 1 species
GACGAACGCUGGCGGCGUGCCUAAUACAUGCAAGUCGAACGCAGUGGGGACGGGUGAGUAACACGUUGGUAACCUCCCAUCAGAGGGGAUAACACUUUGAAACAGGUGCUCAACCGAUACUGAUAGAUGGACCCGCGGUGCAUUAGCUAGUUGGUGAGGUAACGGCUCACCAAGGCCACGAUGCAUACCCGACCUUAGAGGGUGAUCAGCCACACUGGGACUGAGACACGGCCCAGACUCCUACGGGAGGCAGCAGUAGGGAAUCUUCGGCAAUGGACGAAAGUCUGACCGAGCCAUGCCGCGUGAGUGAAGAAGGUUUUCGGAUCGUAAAACUCUGUUGUUAGAGAAGCGUUAUCUAACCAGAAAGCCACGGCUAACUACGUGCCAGCCGCCGCGGUAAUAC